rnacentral:rRNA from 1 species
UACGUAGGGGGCAAGCGUUGUCCGGAAUCAUUGGGCGUAAAGAGCGUGUAGGCGGUUCGGUAAGUCGGCUGUGAAAGUCCAGGGCUCAACCCUGGGAUGCCGGUCGAUACUGCCGGACUAGAGUUCGGAAGAGGCGAGUGGAAUUCCUGGUGUAGCGGUGAAAUGCGCAGAUAUCAGGAGGAACACCAAUUGCGAAGGCAGCUCGCUGGGACGUAACUGACGCUGAGACGCGAAAGCGUGGGGAGCAAACAGG